CAUCGUCAGGUAAAAAAAAUCGUCUUCUCCCUCCUGUUGCAAAUUUUUAAAUGUUUGCACGUGUGCAAAUAUGAAUAGUGUAAAGUAAACCAUCACAGUGAUUUGCUGACAGUCUUGCUCCUAGUACCGCUCGUACUUCCCGCGUCCACGACUCUCUUUUCGUAAAACGUGUCUUGUACGAUUGUACCUAGACUCCUGUCACAAGAAAGCACUUUGCAUUGAAGAUACAUCGCCACUCAAAUCUAUGUUUUUCAUGUUUUUCACUCUUGGAAUAGGGGAUCACGUGACCUUUUAGGCUGCAAACUCAAACCAAAAUAAACACAGAAUUGACCGUGCCCGUUUCGCCAAAGAACGACGAGAGUGCGCGACUUUGUCACCCAAACAUUCCCGUGAUCUCCUAGCGCAAGUCCCCUACUGGAAAGAACAAGUGCAUCACACAGCCCUCUAGGAAGCUGUAGUACGAGCUGUGGCUUGGCGGUUCCUAUUUUUGAAGCAUUUCAAGACUGGAAAUGUUCUAAAAGCAAACUUGACAUGUCCUCCCGCUGUUGACAGGCUCCUGAUAAAGUAAAACAAUCGUCAUUAGCACCAAGAAAUUAACACAAAGCAUUGCUGCUUCAACACUUCUUUUCAACCUACCCCAAGAGCGCAAGACGUGCCGGCCUCUCUAUGGCGUGCAAGGCAUGACUGUUUGUCUUUCGUAGGCGUGCUAAGCGUGUCAGCCUGCCCAAGCCACCGCGCAAGGCAAAGUGGCCUCCUCUUAGACGUGCAAAGUGCAAAGUAUGUAGGCCUAUCCAAAUUAGCCCGCAAGACAUGCUAGUCAAACCUGAUUAGGGCUACCACAGGUAUCCCAGUAAUUAGCCCGCAAGGCAUGCUAGUUAAACCGCACAAGUUGUUUGCAAAGUAUGGUGGCCUAUAAUGGAGAGACAAAUGGAGCCUAUCCAAACCUGUACGUUGCGUUAGACAUGGUGGCCCACAGCACGUGCUGGCUCACACAAAACAAGAGCGCCAGGAAUAACGGCCUUUCCUCUUACGCAAUCUUCUGAGCUAAUGCACACUUACACGGAUGCUGAAACGACCAUGUCAAACAAUCCUUCCUUAUAUUCAGACGAGAAUUCUGAGCUUUAUAAACUGUCACACAAGUCACUCUCGUUAUGCAAGCGCAAAAGCAGACUUAUUCCAUUGCAAACGUACCCUUGGUACCAGGAGACUCCGAGCUUCGCAGCGACAACGAUUUGAGUGAAGCGAACGAGCUUCGCGGAAAUUGUUGUCGCCAGGAAGCUCGGAGCCAGUGGUAGCACCCAGGGUAGUGCAAGCGAUAUACUGUAGUAUCUUAUGACCACUAUCCUUACGUGACUUACUCUCUUCGUCACACAAUCAAGCGUUACAAUGUCACGCAAAAUGUCGCUUUCAAAACUGAAACAACAAGUAACUUUGAUAAGGAGUAGUAUAACUUAUUCUCUUCCCUCGAGAAGAAGAAUGCUUUCCAUUCACACGCGCACUCCGCCGCGGCAACUAACCUAAAGGCAUGUAUACACAAGCUCUAAUGGUCGCAGGUUCCAGUUCGCGGGUAGCGGGCUUCAAGCCGUUUACACUGGCGAAUUUUGUUCGUGCGGCAAGAAGUGUGACAUUCAUUGCAAGACCGCAAUAAGCUUGUCACCCAAAGUACCAUUAGGUUUCAGUUCUUGCAAUUUUCUUUGUCUAUUCCGCUCGAGAAAAAUAUGGAUGAUUUUAGCGUCUUAAGGCUAAGCUCAAACCUCGUAUUAUCCAUGAGCCGUAUUCAAUGCAAAUGCGUGCAAAUGAAGAUGGAACAAUCGACGUGAUUUAUUUGCAUGCAUUUGCAUUGAAUACGGCGCAUGGAUAAUACGACGUUUGAACUUAGCCUAAUACGCUUGAAUUAAAGUUGCAAAACUUGCGGGCUCAAAGUACUUGCAAGCUGUCAAAGUAGUGGAAUCGUCACUAAUUCAAAUUUGCAGGCUACACUCUUUUUUUAUAAGAAUGUUUGAUUUCCAGUUGAGGAUGGGCCUGGCUUUUUAAGGCUGAAACAGUUCUAUUCUGAGCGACGUU